rnacentral:rRNA from 1 species
AAUAGUUUUUUAAUUGGAAACUGGAAUGAAUGAUUGAACAAAAAAUAAUCUGUCUUUUUUAUAAAAGUUGAAAUUUACUUUUAAGUGAAAAGGCUUAAAUUUUUUAAAGGGACGAUAAGACCCUUUAAAACUUUACAAGAUGAAAAUAAUUUAUUAAGUAAAAUUAAAGUUAAUUAUUUUUAAUUCUGUUUCGUUGGGGUGAUGAAGAUAUAAAAAUAACUGUCUUAUAUUUAAAAUAAUUGUAAUUAGAGUAUAUAUAUGAUCCUUAUUUUAUUUUAAGAUUAAAAGAAAAAGUUACUUUAGGGAUAACAGCGUAAUUUUUUCUGAGAGUUCUUAUUUAUGAAAAUAGUUGCGACCUCGAUGUUGAAUUAAGAUUUUUAUUAAGGUGCAGCAGUUUUAAUUAUAAGUCUGUUCGACUUUUAAAAUCUU